AUGGUCAACGUUCCAGCCUGCCUUCUUUUAAUGGCUACAACAAUCACAGCUUUUAGCGGAAUUACAAAUAUUACUGAGAAUUCUGGAAUUUUGUCCCUAAAUUUAGGACCCGCUCGCCUUAAGGAAACAACGCAUACUUUCGUCCACUACUACAAUAUUUCCCUUUUACGCUCCGAAUUGAGCAAUAUUCAAAAUUCUUACAAUGCCGUAAAUAAAAUAGGUCGCCUUAACGAUACAUACAACCCCUCCCUUAAAUUAAUUAAAACUAUUGGCGAUAGGCUUUUACAAAAAUCUCUCUUUUUAGGUUAUCGCCCAAAAAGAGGUAUUGCGAACUUUAUUGGAAGAGGUUUAAAUUGGUUCAGAGGAAAUUUAGACGAUACGGACAAAGCAAAAUACGAUUCAAUUCUUGAAAAUUUAGGAAAAUCCGAAAUCUCGUUAGAAAAUCAAGUUGCACAGGGUUAUAGCCUUAGCACUGCGAUUAUUAACAAAAACAAAGAGGUCUUAGUUCGUAUCGACGAUAAUGAGCGAAUUUUGAGUCAGAAGCUCAGAGAAAUUAAUGCUGUGCAAGCUAAUAUUUCCACGGCGGACGCUCACAUUCACAUCCUAGAGACAAUUAAUUAUUUGUUAACGUACAGUCUAACAUUCCUUUCCUUCAUGACUGAAAUUGAAACUUCACUCAUGUUUUGUAAUAAUAACCAAUUACAUCCCUCAGUUAUUACUCCUUCCGAGUUAUAUUCAGAAAUUAAAACAAUUCGCAAAUUCUACCACGAAACUUUACCAAAAAAUUUAACCUCCCUUCCGUUAAAUGAACUUGAAAAAUUGUUGCAAGUUUCUUGUUCCCUAUCUCCAGACAAAAUCACUUAUUAUAUAUCUGUUCCAGUUAAUUUUAAUUCCACUUUCUCAUUGUUCCACUUAAUUUCUAUCCCCUCACUUGUACGGUCAGAGUAUGUAUCAGUCAUUCCAGACUACCGGCACGUCAUCAGAGACGAACUCAAUAAGAGGACUUUUGCUGUCACAUCUCCAUGUCAACGCAUCUUCGAUACCUACCAAUGCUCAUCAGCUUCUCCCUUGGAUUCUACGUCUUGCAGCGCUACCACCAUUGCUACACGUUCGACCACUUACUGUCCUAAAGUAUCUGUUUUUAUUAAUUCCAGUUAUGUCGAUAGUAUUCCAGAAACCAAUCAAUUCUUAUUUGUUUUACCUCAUGCCGAAACUCUCGAAAUUAUUUGCAAUAAUGUUUUAGAUUGACAAAACUUGCAAGGAAUUUUCCUUUUCAAUUCAAAUUAUUGUUCUAUUAAGUUCCGUAAUAUUACUAUGCGUACUUACCUCAACACCACUGCAGAAUUGCAUUUCGCAGAAUUUAAAUUGUCUUCUGAAAAAGAUCUCAAAAUUGCACCUUUGAACUUUACUUUGGCAACACUGCAGAUGGAUAUCCAACCAGAAUUAAUUCGAGGCCUGCCGGUUCACAUUCCAGCAGAAUCCUUCUUGAAUUUCGAGUCUUCCACUCAUUUCUACACUCUGUAUGGUACUAUGCUUGUUAUCAUUUUGUUAACUUUUUCUAUUGGCGCUUACUUAUGUUAUGCCAGGCGAAAGUACUCGCGUGUGCCGCUCCAUGAACGCUCUGUUUCAUUCAUUAGCAGCCCAUUACCCACUUCUACUAUCUCGCCGGCGGAGAAUGUUGUUAUCUCUCGGCCGACACCUCAGACGCCACAGCCGCAGCCGCCGACACAGCCGAAUCAGUCAGCACACGCCGAUUAUUCAACCAUGUCGACGCUAUCGCGCCUGAAUCUAUCCCCGCUCCGCUCACUCCACCUCCACUGAUACCGCUCGUGGAACUGGCUCGCCUUACUCGACCCACUAAUGGAUGACCCGUUACUCCCGUUCAUUGACUCGCGCUACUACGAGAUUACUACGCUACAACCGUUGCUGCCUGGCCAUUCACUUCAUUGAUUAUCUUACUGUUUUAUUGCUUCUUACUAUCACUUGUUUUAUUGUUUCUUCAUGUUAUUUGAUUUUAAUAUUAUUGAUCACUUGACCCUUGCCGAGACUACUUGUAAACUUGUUAGUACUUUUUUCCCCUUUUAAUCUUUUUGUCAGUUUCAUCUUAGCUUUGUAUAAACAUUUCUGGUGAAACUUUCGUAAAUUUUCAAGCAAAUUUUCUUUCUCCCCCAUAAAUUUUUUCUUAGGGCGGAGGAGUUAUGAAAUGACUAUUUCACCUUGGUGACGCUUGUCAUUGCCCUUGUCGCAGGGCCAAUGCCAAGGCGUGGUUAUCACCGCACGUGUCAUUUUUUGUCAACGUCGCGUCGUUGUCUUGAUCCCUAUAAAACGGGACUACGCCGCUCCGUUCUUUGUGAUUCAUUCUCAGCUUCAGUCCGGUCUGGGUCUCCCGAUCUUUCGAUUGUUACAGAAUAAACUCAUUCCAAGUUUAUUCCGUUCUUGUGCUUUUUUGCCUACCUCACCUUUACGGUAGUCUUCCAUCUACCAUUAGUUAUAUGCACAUCUUAUAAGUGGCGCAGUCCGUAUUCGAAUUUAUCGUGUUUUUAUCAUUUCGGUCAACACUUUUCGCGUUUUACGCACUCUCUUCGCCUGCCGCCGCAGCCGACUCAUUGCCGCCGCAGCCGUCUCUUUUUUUCGCCGCAGCCGAUUCGUUUCGCCGCAACUCACGCCGAGCUUUGUUGCCGCAAAACCACUCAAAUCCUGUGAUCCAGUUUUUCUACUCUUGUGCUGUACAAUGAAAUUCUUCGUCGUUCUCUUGGCGUAAGUACCUCAAAUAUUCAGCACAUUACUCAGUGACCAACCAAAAAAAUUCUUUGUGAUUACCCUAAUAAUUUGGUGGAAAAAUUUUUUGUAAUGCUUUACCCUAUGUAUGAACAACUAUAGAUCCCCUUCUCUUCGUUUUAACAGUGAAACUGAUACUGAAUCAGACACUACCACUAGUUGAGAAGAAGAAAUUUUUCAAAACAACUCAGUAGCCAUGUCCGCCGAACAAAUAGUACAACAACUUAAUCGGUUACAAACUGCCCUUACUGCAGUUCAAGAAGGGCAAGGACAAGAUUUUCUACGAUUAACAGAUGGAGAAAUUCGGUCAAUUCCUGAGUUCCGUGGAGAAGCGACAAUCUUGCCACAUUUCAUAAGAAUUUGUGACGCUCUUGUGCGAGAUUUUUACUUCGCCCGGAACCCGGAACAUGUCCAGAAUGCUCGCAUCAUUAGAGGAAUUUUAAGCAGAAUCAAGGGUCAAGCACAAAUCCAAAUUGGCAAUUUUGAAUUUACAACGUGGGCUCCAUUAAAGGAGAAGUUACUUGAAUUUUACGGGGAUAGAAAAACGGAAAAUACAUUGAUGAUUGAAUUAUGUCGGUAUUCCCAAUAUUCUUCGGAGUCACCAAUUGAUUUCUAUAAUAGGAUUGUCUAUCAAUUAAAUUUAAUUCUGUCGUAUAUGACGACGCAUAAUUCUACAGAUCAUAGAGAUUUCAUUUAAUAAAACGGCACUUCAAGUCUUUCUUAAAGGACUUCGUGAUCCCUUGGGUCAAUAUUUGAGAACCAGGAAACCUGAGUCCCUUGCACAAGCUCUUAAUUUGCUUAAUAAUGAAUUUCAAUUCGAAAAAUCAAAUAAUAACUCUUCCAAUAAUUCCCAGCGGAAUUCAAAUUCUCGCAAUAAUGGCAACAAUAAUGGAAAUAAUAAUGGCAAUAAUAAUGGCAAUAAUAAUCGAAAUGAUCGACAAAAUUACAACAAUACUGCCGCCAAUAAUAAUCAGUCUCGCAAUAAUGGUUAUGCCAACAAUAACAACGGUAAUCGUAAUAACAAUGGAAAUUAUGGUAAUAAUAAUCGCCAAAAUGACAAUGGGAAUAAUAAUAAUAAUCGAAGAAAUAAUUACAACAAUAAUUAUAACAACCGCAAUCAGGCCUCCAAUUCUCAAACCAGACAGGGAUCAGGGAAUAGGAAUUCCCACCAAUCUAGCCGACCGGCUAGCAACGACACCUCUACUCCUAUGAGUGGCGUUUCAUUUUUCAACACAUCUGAUGCCGUUCCUGCAGAUGAAGUUGACUCGUGCGAACAGCACAUGCAUGAAACAGAAAAAGUUCUCGAUUUUGAAGAACCACAAAUUGAGCAUGCACAUUUUUAUUCCAGCACCAGUUUUGAGUCUAAAUCGACUCUCCCGUAUAUUACCGUGCCGGAGCUUCAGUAUUCUAAGCUCCUUCUUGAUUUAGGCGCUUCGAAUAGCUUCCUGGACCCUACUCUCGCUCGUAAAUUAUUUUCAAAAUAUAUCAGAGAGUACCCUAUGGAUAUCAUCACGCCUCACGGGAAAGAAUUCUCGAAAUAUUGCGUGUACGUGCCAAUUCCGAAACAGGUUCGACAAGAACCUGGAUUUUUCCGAUUUCAAUUGUUCAAUUUCCACAAAUUCUUUAAUGGAUUAAUUGGAGUAGAUAUUUUGAAGAAAAUUGGAGGAACUGUGACCUUCAAAGAAAACGUUCUAGAAAUUGGAGAACAGAAGAUCCCUUUUUCUAUUACCUUACAAAUCCAGAGAAGAAUCCAAUUUCUUGUGAAGCUCAGUCGAAAACUUUGGUACAAAUUCCCGUUUCAGGACAAAAUAAUACAGCAGUUGUUACUCCGGAGACUAAACUUAGUCCAAAAGUAGAAAUACCCGCCUGUAUUUCUACGGUCAAAAAUGGUUAUAUUAUGUGUUCCCUCGUUAAUUUUUCAGAUAUUCCAGUGAAAUUUCUUUUGGAAAAACCGCUGGGUAAUGAACCAAUCUGUAAUUUCUUAGUAUCAGAACAGUGUUAUUCCUCAAAAAUUCGUUCUGCUUAUGUUAAUACCGUGGAAGUUUAUAACACAAAUAAGAACUCCGGGAACCGUUCUUUUGAUUUUUCAAAACUCCGGACAAACCAUUUAAAUUCCGAGGAACUCGAAAUUGUGAAAAAACUAGUAUUAGAUUAUCAGGAUGUUUUUUACGUUGAAGGUGACCCGCUGCCAUUGAGUGACGCAGCUGUUCAUAAAAUUUGUUUGAAAGAUGAAAUACCUAUCCACGCAAAAAGCUAUAAAUACCCGGUAGUCUACAAAGAAGAGGUCAAAAGACAAAUUAAUAAAAUGUUGGAGGACGGAAUUAUUCGACCUUCAUAUAGUCCAUGGUCGUCGCCUAUUUGGGUUGUUCCCAAAAAAGCAGACCAAUCUGGAAAACGGAAAAUUCGCAUUGUAGUAGAUUACAGAGCCCUGAGUGCAAAGACUGUAGGCGAUGUUUAUCCUCUGCCCAACGUGACGUCAUUGUUAGAUAAAGUAGGGCAAUGCACGUAUUUUACACUCUUUGACCUUGAAAACGGAUUUCACGCUCUCGCUUUACAUCCCGACUCAAUUAAGUAUACCUACAGCUUUUUCAGUCGAAAAUA
rnacentral:lncRNA from 1 species